rnacentral:rRNA from 1 species
CCUACGGGAGACAGCAGUGGGGGAUAUUGCACAAUGGGGGAAACCCUGAUGCAGCGACGCCGCGUGAGUGAAGAAGCACCUCGGUACGUAAAGCUCUAUCAGCAGGGAAGAAAAUGACGGUACCUGAAUAAGAAGCCCCGGCUAACUACGUGCCAGCAGCCGCGGUAAUACGUAGGGGGCAAGCGUUAUCCGGAUUUACUGGGUGUAAAGGGAGCGUAGACGGCAGUACAAGUCUGGAGUGAAAGCCCGGGGCUCAACCCCGGGACUGCUUUUGAAACUGCGUGGCUGGAGUGCAGGAGGGGUAAGCGGAAUUCCUGGUGUAGCGGUGAAAUGCGUAGAUAUUAGGAGGAACACCGGUGGCGAAGGCGGCUUACUGGACUGUAACUGACGUUGAGGCUCGAAAGCGUGGGGAGCAAACAGGAUUAGAUACCCGAGUAGUC